AUACUUACCUGGUGGGAGCAUUAGCCAUGAUCCCUAAGGUGGCUCUCCCAGUGAGGUCGGGUUCAUUGCACUGUGACUAGUUGACCUCAAGUAUUUCAAAUGUGGGAAACUCACUGCAUAAUUGCAGUGGGGACUGCUUUCCUCUGUCUUUG